rnacentral:rRNA from 1 species
UGCAAGUCGAGCGGAAGAAGGGAGCUUGCUCCCGGAUGUUAGCGGCGGACGGGUGAGUAACACGUGGGUAACCUGCCUGUAAGACUGGGAUAACUCCGGGAAACCGGAGCUAAUACCGGAUAGUUCCUUGAACCGCAUGGUUCAAGGAUGAAAGACGGUUUCGGCUGUCACUUACAGAUGGACCCGCGGCGCAUUAGCUAGUUGGUGAGGUAACGGCUCACCAAGGCGACGAUGCGUAGCCGACCUGAGAGGGUGAUCGGCCACACUGGGACUGAGACACGGCCCAGACUCCUACGGGAGGCAGCAGUAGGGAAUCUUCCGCAAUGGACGAAAGUCUGACGGAGCAACGCCGCGUGAGUGAUGAAGGUUUUCGGAUCGUAAAGCUCUGUUGUUAGGGAAGAACAAGUGCAAGAGUAACUGCUUGCACCUUGACGGUACCUAACCAGAAAGCCACGGCUAACUACGUGCCAGCAGCCGCGGUAAUACGUAGGUGGCAAGCGUUGUCCGGAAUUAUUGGGCGUAAAGGGCUCGCAGGCGGUUUCUUAAGUCUGAUGUGAAAGCCCCCGGCUCAACCGGGGAGGGUCAUUGGAAA